GAAGGAUCAUUACCGAGUAUCGGGGCCCUCUGGGUUCCUACUCCCACCCUAUGUGUACCAAUCUCAGUUGCUUUGGCGGGUCGUCGGUUUCGACUACCGUUGGCCUUUUAGGCUGGCGAGUACCCGCCGGAGGACCCUUAAAACUCGUUUUAACGGUGGCUCUGAGUGAAUCUUUGAAUAGAAAAAAAACUUUCAACAACGGAUCUCUUGGUUCUGGCAUCGAUGAAGAACGCAGCGAAAUGCGAUAAGUAAUGUGAAUUGCAGAAUUCAGUGAAUCAUCGAAUCUUUGAACGCACAUUGCGCCCUUUGGUAUUCCGAGGGGCAUGCCUGUUCGAGCGUCAUUUAAAAACAUCAAGCACGGCUUGGUCUUGGGCGGGGUCUCCGGACCCGCCUGUAACCGGUUGGCGGCACCGCCUGGCUUUAAGCGUAGCAAGUCUUACCCUCGCUUCGGAGCCCGUGUGGGGACCGGCCCUAGGUACCUCUAAAGUUUGACCUCGGAUCAGGUAGGGAUACCCGCUGAACUUAA
rnacentral:rRNA from 1 species